GGGGUCGUUGGAGACCAUGGGCGCACUAGAGGAGUUGCUUUCGAUCAGUUAGUUUUUUCUUUUCUAGUUGAAAGUUUAUAACUUUUUUCUUUUUACUUUUGUUUAGUGAUUUUUUUUGCUUUUUUUUCCUUUCUUUUUUGAUUAGGGUUGCAAUUUCUUGAAACAUACUGGAGAAUUGUGACGAAAAGUGGUUUCAAAAGAAUUAUCCAUAAAACAAGAUGAUUUUUUUAGUCUUUGCGAUACUUGAAAAUUGUUAUGGUCUUGAUUCUUUAUUACUAUGUCUCUAUGCCGAAUUUAUUCCGAUAUGGGUUUAUUUUGUAAAGUUGAAUGGACUCGGAUCUAACCCGAAUCGGACUCAAAUUUUUUAGGUUGUGACCGGGUUAUACAUAGACCCG
rnacentral:lncRNA from 1 species